rnacentral:lncRNA from 1 species
AUAUUCAAACAUUUUGUUGUUCAUCAAAAUCAAUCCUUGGGGUUAACAAUCUCCUCCUUUUUGAUGAUGACAAAACUUGAGUAUGUGAGCAAUUGGUAUAACCAUAAUAUAAGAGUUACAUUCAUUCAAGAUUUAAGCAAAGUGAAUUUGAAAAUUUUGUCAACAUGAAUCCUUUCUAAGUUUAGAUCUUGCUCCCCCUUAGUUUAUGCAUAUCUUCUUCAAUUUAGAUUUAUCCUUCUAAUGUUAGUGUAAAGCAAGAAUGUAUCAUAACUGCUAUGAGUUGAGCAGUAUUUUAAGAAGUGUGAUGAUUUUAGUGUUUGUUAUGGCU